CACUGAAACAAGGUGGCCGCCCAGAUGGUCCAGAAAAUUUAUUUAAAAAAAUGACCUGGGGAAGAGGGAAAAGAGACACAAGGAAACCAUGUAACAACUUUUACAGCUUCUUCUCAAAAGAGAUACCAUCACCUUUGCGUGUAUUUUAUUGGAAAAGUAGGAGGAAUCCUGCAAUCUUGGGAGUCAUUCAGCAAGUGGUCACUACUUUAAAAUCCCAGAAGAAUCAUUGCAAGCAUUGAAGAUAUGGAUCCUAAGUUGAAAUUUCAGGAUCAUCUCCCAAAACUACACACAGAACUGGGCCACCAAGGGGGCUGCUGCCACUGCUCAGAUUAGGAGGCUGUAGAGUCAGGAAGGUGCCUGCCAAACUGAGAAGCCCCACUGCCGCUGCAGGCUGAGGCCAUGCCGCCUCUCCGGGACUCAGACUGGCUGAAUGGAUGCCUGAGCCCCACCUUUCAACAGCUACGAAGCGAGAGAUCCACCUCUGGGAACUAUACUGCAGCUGCCUCGGAGACACCUGUGACCGGGUUUGGCUGCAGAAGGGGCAGCUGAUGCAUUUCGUCUCCCCAGGAUGCUCCUCUUCUGCCUUGCAAAGCUUGCAUGGCGGCAUUUGGGUGGCAGAACUCAAUCACAUUUGCAACCCCAGCUGCAAAAGAGUCCAGGGCCCCAGUAGCUUGUAGGGCCCCACUCUGCAAUUCAGACACACAUUGGAAGAACGAGCUAGUGGAAGUUGAACGAGGCAGGGUUCACCUUCAUGUAAAAUCGUGGUAUAACAAACAAACUCAUUCCACUUCCAGGACCCCUGGAGUUUAGGAACCCUGAUGCUGCCCUGCUGGUAAGCAGUGUCCUUGUCCUAUACCCUUCUGCGUAGCCUGGGGCUGAGGAUGGCCCAUGAUAGUCUCGUUAGUCACUCAGGUUGGACCCGAGAAGACUCCAUGUGGGCCUUGCAAGGGAAAUUCAGUGACAUGAAGCUGGGCUCCUCGCAGUUCUAGAAUUUCAUCCUUCUGGGGAUGAAGAACUCACUGGCCACGUUGUAAUCCAUUAACUCAAAUUCCCAAGAAAAACAGAACCAUAGACAAAAGUUUAUAUACAGUCAUCCCUCGGUAUUGGUGGAGAAUUGGUUCUGGGACCCUGGGGAAUCCCAAAAUCCGCAGAUGCUCAAGUCUCUUAUAUAAAAUGGUGUCGUAUUUGCAUAUAACAUGCACACAUAUUCCUGUAUACUUUAAAUCAUCUCCAGAUUAUUUAUAAUAUCUAAUACA